CGACAGUAUGUUCAAUGAAAUCAAAUUUUCUUUGACACUUUCAGGUAACUGUUCAGAUGAGGGUUUGGUGGUGCAAGUGUCUGAAGCUCCAGGUUCUCCUGUUGUUACUGCUAAUAUAGGUGGCAAGGAAGAGGAGAGUGGACUGUUUGUGCCGAUUAUAGAUCUCAGAUGGAGUCAAUUACCUGAUAGUCGCAUUUACUCUCUCAAAGGGACUGAAGUUCGUGUGUUGGAAAUGGCAACAAAUCGCAGUGUUUGUGUACGGUAUGUUUUUAGUAAGACAUUAUCAUCGCCAAAAAACCCGAGGGGUGAUAUGGUGAGUAGUCAUAUGCAAUUUGUACACAGAAAAUUAUCAUAUAAAAGAGCAUAAAAUGCCAGGGCCAGAUUUAAAAUGGCAUAAAAUACCAUAAUACUUAUGCAAAUAUUUUAUAAGCAUGCUAAGUGAACAAUUGUUUUUCUAAAAAACAAUGCUAAAGUCAGUUAUUCGUAUUUGCACUCUGUUUUCAGAAAGUCUGUCUUUGUUUUGGUCUGUAUAACUUCGCCCACUGCCACUUUACCCAAUUACAUUUCAGCAUCCUGGGUUGUCAUUUCAUUUCAGUCAUAAAGGCUGCCUCAAUUUAUGUGGCCUCUGCAGAAAAUUUGACCACUGGAGAACAGUAUUAACCUCCAAAAUGAGACACAGAUUCAGAGUUUCAAAAAUUCACAUGAUGUGGUUUCUAAUGAACAAAUAAUACAAAUAUUACAAACAUAAAGGUUAGUUGAGCAGCUUACAGCGUAAGGACUCAAUCUUCAAGCACAUUGGCUCCUGUUUGUGUCGUCAAUUUGGCAUUCUGUGUAUGAGUUGAGUUGUUGUAGGA